AGGCCACUGCUGUUGGGAUCCGACUAAGCCAUGCGAGUCGAGAGGGUUCGGCCCUCGGCAGACUGCUCAGUAACACGUGGAUAAUCUACCCUUAGGUGGAGGAUACUCUCGGGAAACUGAGAAUAAUACUCCAUAGGUCUAGGAUGCUGGAGUGCACCUAGGUUGAAAGUUCCGGCGCCUAAGGACGAGUCUGCGGACUAUCAGGUAGUAGUCAGGGUAAAGACCUGACUAGCCUACGACGGAUACGGGUUGUGAGAGCAAUAGCCCGGAGACGAUAUCUGAGACACGAUAUCGGGCCCUACGGGGCGCAGCAGGCGCGAAAUCUUCACAAUGUGCGAAAGCACGAUGAGGGGAUCCCAAGUGUUGGCUCGUAAGAGUCAUCUGUUUCUUUGUCUAAAAGACAGAGAGAGUAAGAGCUGGGUAAGACGGGUGCCAGCCGCCGCGGUAAUACCUGCAGCUCAAGUGGUGGCCGCUAUUAUUGGGCCUAAAACGUCCGUAGCCGGUUUAGUAAAUGCCUGGGUAAAUUGUGUAGCUCAACUAUACGAAUACCGGGUAGACUGCUAAACUUGGAACCGGGAGAGGCUAGAGGUACUCCUAGGGUAGAGGUGAAAUUCUGUAAUCCUAGGGGGACCACCAGUGGCGAAGGCGUCUAGCUAGAACGGGUUUGACGGUGAGGGACGAAGCCCUGGGGCGCAAACCGGAUUAGAUACCCGGGUAGUCCAGGGUGUAAACGCUGCUCGCUUGAUGUUAGUCGGGCUCCGAGCCCAACUAGUGUCGGAGAGAAGUUGUUAAGCGAGCUGCCUGGGAAGUACGGUCGCAAGGCUGAAACUUAAAGGAAUUGGCGGGGGAGCACAGCAACGGGUGGAGCGUGCGGUUUAAUUGGAUUCAACGCCGGAAAUCUCACCGGAGGCGACGGUUAUAUGAGGGCCAGGCUGAUGACCUUGCCUGAUUUUCCGAGAAGUGGUGCAUGGCCGUCGUCAGUUCGUACCGUGAGGCGUUCUGUUAAGUCAGGCAACGAGCGAGAUCCUCGCCCUUAGUUGCCAUCGGUGGAAAGCCGGGCACUCUAGGGGG
rnacentral:rRNA from 1 species